rnacentral:rRNA from 1 species
CCUACGGGUGACAGCAGUGGGGAAUAUUGCACAAUGGGGGAAACCCUGAUGCAGCGACGCCGCGUGAGUGAAGAAGUAUUUCGUUAUGUAAAGCUCUAUCAGCAGGGAAGAAAAUGACGGUACCUGAGCAAGAAGCCCCGGCUAACUACGUGCCAGCAGCCGCGGUAAUACGUAGGGGGCAAGCGUUAUCCGGAUUUACUGGGUGUAAAGGGAGCGUAGACGGUUGUGUAAGUCUGGAGUGAAAGCCGGGGGCUCAACCCCCGGACUGCUUUGGAAACUGUACGACUGGAGUGCAGGAGGGGUAGGUGGAAUUCCUGGUGUAGCGGUGAAAUGCGUAGAUAUCAGGAGGAACACCAGUGGCGAAGGCGGCCUGCUGGACUGAAACUGACGUUGAGGCUCGAAAGCGUGGGGAGCAAACAGGAUUAGAUACCCCUGUAGUC